UCUAGCUACAGGCUUAACACAUGCAAGUCGAGGGGCAUCAGGAAGAAAGCUUGCUUUCUUUGCUGGCGACCGGCGCACGGGUGAGUAACACGUAUCCAACCUGCCCUUUACUCGGGGAUAGCCUUUCGAAAGAAAGAUUAAUACCCGAUAGCAUAAUGAUUCCGCAUGGUUUCAUUAUUAAAGGAUUCCGGUAAAGGAUGGGGAUGCGUUCCAUUAGGUUGUUGGUGAGGUAACGGCCCACCAAGCCUUCGAUGGAUAGGGGUUCUGAGAGGAAGGUCCCCCACAUUGGAACUGAGACACGGUCCAAACUCCUACGGGAGGCAGCAGUGAGGAAUAUUGGUCAAUGGGCGCUAGCCUGAACCAGCCAAGUAGCGUGAAGGAUGAAGGCUCUAUGGGUCGUAAACUUCUUUUAUAUAAGAAUAAAGUGCAGUAUGUAUACUGUUUUGUAUGUAUUAUAUGAAUAAGGAUCGGCUAACUCCGUGCCAGCAGCCGCGGUAAUACGGAGGAUCCGAGCGUUAUCCGGAUUUAUUGGGUUUAAAGGGAGCGUAGGUGGACUGGUAAGUCAGUUGUGAAAGUUUGCGGCUCAACCGUAAAAUUGCAGUUGAUACUGUCAGUCUUGAGUACAGUAGAGGUGGGCGGAAUUCGUGGUGUAGCGGUGAAAUGCUUAGAUAUCACGAAGAACUCCGAUUGCGAAGGCAGCUCACUGGACUGCAACUGACACUGAUGCUCGAAAGUGUGGGUAUCAAACAGGAUUAGAUACCCUGCUAGUCCACACAGUAAACGAUGAAUACUCGCUGUUUGCGAUAUACAGUAAGCGGCCAAGCGAAAGCUUUAAGUAUUCCACUUGGGGAGUACGCCGGCAACGGUGAAACUCAAAGGAAUUGACGGGGGCCCGCACAAGCGGAGGAACAUGUGGUUUAAUUCGAUGAUACGCGAGGAACUUUACCCGGGCUUAAAUUGCAGUGGAAUGAUGUGGAAACUUGUCAGUGAGCAAUCACCGCUGUGGAGGUGCUGCAUGGUUGUUGUCAGCUCGUGCCGUGAGGUGUCGGCUUAAGUGCCAUAACGAGCGCAACCCUUAUUUUUAGUUACUAACAGGUUAUGCUGAGGACUCUAGAGAGACUGCUGUUGUAAGAUGUGAGGAAGGUGGGGAUGACGUCAAAUCAGCACGGCCCUUACGUCCGGGGCUACUCACGUGUUACAAUGGGGGGUACAGAAGGCAGCUAGCGGGUGACCGUAUGCUAAUUCCAAAAUCCUCUCUCAGUUCGGAUCGAAGUCUGCAACCUGACUUCGUGAAGCUGGAUUCGCUAG
rnacentral:rRNA from 1 species